rnacentral:tRNA from 1 species
GGAAAUGUGCCUGAGAUUUAAGGGUCACUAUGAUAAAGUGGACACAGAGGCUACCAACCCUCUCAUUUCCU